rnacentral:rRNA from 1 species
UACGUAGGGGGCGAGCGUUGUCCGGAUUUAUUGGGCGUAAAGAGCGUGUAGGCGGCCAGGUAGGUCUGCUGUGAAAACUCGAGGCUCAACCUCGAGACGUCGGCGGAAACCAUCUGGCUAGAGUCCGGAAGAGGAGAGUGGAAUUCCUGGUGUAGCGGUGAAAUGCGCAGAUAUCAGGAAGAACACCCGUGGCGAAGGCGGCUUUCUGGGACGGUACUGACGCUGAGACGCGAAAGCGUGGGGAGCGAACAGG